ACGGAGGAUCCGAGCGUUAUCCGGAUUUACUGGGUUUAAAGGGUGCGUAGGCGGGCCCCUCAGUCAGCGGUGAAAGUCUGCGGCUCAACCGUAGGAUUGCCGUUGAUACUGGGGGCCUUGGAUUCGGUCGAGGCGGGCGGGAUGCGUGGUGUAGCGGUAAAAUCCUUAGAUAUCAGGCAGAACGCCGAUUGCGAAGGCAGCUGGCUGGGCCGGUAUCGACGCUGAGGCACGAAAUCGUGGGGAUCAAACAG
rnacentral:rRNA from 1 species